rnacentral:rRNA from 1 species
AUUGAACGCUGGCGGCAGGCCUAACACAUGCAAGUCGAGCGGAUGACGGGAGCUUGCUCCUUGAUUCAGCGGCGGACGGGUGAGUAAUGCCUAGGAAUCUGCCUGGUAGUGGGGGACAACGUUUCGAAAGGAACGCUAAUACCGCAUACGUCCUACGGGAGAAAGCAGGGGACCUUCGGGCCUUGCGCUAGCAGAUGAGCCUAGGUCGGAUGAGCUAGUUGGUUGGGUAAUGGCUCACCAAGGCGACGAUCCGGAACUGGUCUGAGAGGAUGAUCAGUCACACUGGAACUGAGACACGGUCCAGACUCCUACGGGAGGCAGCAGUGGUGAAUAUUGGACAAUGGGCGAAAGCCUGAUCCAGCCAUGCCGCGUGUGUGAAGAAGGUCUUCGGAUUGUAAAGCACUUUAAGUUGGGAGGAAGGGCAGUAAGUUAAUACCUUGCUGUUUUGACGUUACCGACAGAAUAAGCACCGGCUAACUCUGUGCCAGCCGCCGCAGUAAUAC